rnacentral:rRNA from 1 species
UACGUAGGAUGCAAGCGUUGUCCGGAUUCACUGGGCGUAAAGCGCGCGUAGGCGGCCCUUUAUGUCGGGUGUGAAAUAUCCCGGCUCAACCGGGAGGGUGCACUUUAGACUGAUGAGCUUGAGGUCGGUAGAGGGGGGUGGAAUUGCUGGUGUAGCGGUGAAAUGCGUAGAGAUCAGCAGGAACACCCGUGGCGAAGGCGGCCCCCUGGGCCGUACCUGACGCUGAGGCGCGAAGGCUAGGGGAGCGAACGGG